UGCAUUGUCUUAGUCUGAGAUUGAGCCUUUUAAAGCCACACAGGGAUCAGGUCUGGUGGAUCAGGUCUGGUGGAUCAGGUCUGGUUUCAGAGGCAGCUGUGUUGCAGCACCACCACGUUUCUACAGCAGCUCAGAAGGGACAAACCAAACUCUGGCUCUAUGCUGGGAAUCCUGUUUUUAAGGUAACCGCCACCGUACCUUCCCUCUCACAGGUGCUCAGGUGGUUGCAUUCUGCAGUCUCACCACUAGAAGCUGCUUAUCUUUCAGUUCCGUAGAGACUCUUUCAGAAUCAGUUUUAUUUUCUUGGCAGUACCGGGUUUCCCAGCAGACACCAGUGUUGUUGAGUGUUCAUGUGUUAACUUUAGCUUGUCGCUGUGGAGAUGAUGUCAUCUGCUGCAGGUUUAAACAUGUGCAUCUCCUGGGUUUUGUAGUUUCUUGGUCUUCCCAGGUGACGUCUGACGAGACGACUGAGCACAGACGGACUUUUGCUUCCUUAAGUGAGUCCACUCACUGCGAAGAAGAAAAACACCUGGCACCUGCCUCUGUUCACUCCAGAUCAACUGCACUUCAUCCUGGAGCAGCACAUUUAUUCUGGUUUUCAAGGUGACGGGACUGAUCCUGUUCACCUGAAUCUUCAGGUGUGUUGAGGUUUGAUGUAAACGACUGCACAUGAGUUAGAGUAAAAUAAAACACAGGCUGAAGUGGAGCAGUAAAACCACUGGAGGGCAGCAAAACAACUGACGUGAAGGAGAAAAUAUUCACUAUAUUAAUGUUAGAGCUGUUUUCACCAACAUUACACACGUUUCAGAGUCAGGACCAAAUGUUUGUGUCAGUGAUCGUCUUUAUACUAACAAACAUUAAUAGUGAUAAUGCAACAAUACAAAGGCCCGAGAUUUCUCAUUAGAAAGUCCUACUGAAGUCCUGAUCUUAACAAACCGACUCUCUCGCUCUUCGUCUGUGGAGGGUCAGGAAUGAUUUGUCUCUUCAGUCCCACAGGUCUGACAGAAACCAGCUCCAACAUUAAAGUGAUCAACAAUAAUCCAUCAAUAAUAUCAGAUCCAUUCUUGUGAAAUGGGCCGUUCUGCACAAUGAGUACUUUUACUUUGGAUACUUCAGGUACAUUUGGAUGAUGGUACUUUUACUGCAGUAACAUUUGGAAUGCAGGACUUUUACUGGGAACAGAGGAUUUUCGUACUCUGUGGUAUUAGUACUGUUACUGCAGUAAAUAAAACUGCAGUACUUCUGUUGACGUGUAACGGGUAAAUGGAGGAAGUCCCUGAUUUUCACCACAAUAAAAUACACAUCUUCCAAAAUAAAGGACUUCCGUGUGAGACACGAAGCAGCUGAGGAUGCUGGGAUAUUUUUAGCCAGAUGAUGAUGAUGAAGACGAGGAUGACGGGGAGGAGGAGCUGUGACGUCAUAAUUAUAUAUCUCUUGAAGCUCCGCAGUGCUGCUGUGUGACCUGACGACCCGCAGGAAGGACCUUUACUUUUACUCUUCCUCCUCCUCUUCCUCUCUCUUUGUCUUCAUGCCGGUGUCUCUCCCGCACCGGCACAAACACCGGGCCUUCCUGUAGCCGCCGCCCCGGCCUCCCGCUCCCUGCGGCCGGCGGAGCCUCCCAGCUGAGCCGCGCUGAGGUCGCCGACUCCCGGACAGAGAUGCUGUAGAGCAGCCGGCGGAGGAGAUGCGUCUCCCGGCCUGAAGCAGCGGAAAGC
rnacentral:lncRNA from 1 species